rnacentral:rRNA from 1 species
UACGUAGGCAGCGAGCGUUGUUCGGAGUUACUGGGCGUAAAGGGUGCGUAGGCGGCUUAUUAAGUCUGGUGUGAAAUCUCCCGGCUCAACCGGGAGGGUGCGCCGAAAACUGGGAGGCUAGAGUGCGGGAUGGGAGAGUGGAAUUCCUGGUGUAGCGGUGAAAUGCGCAGAUAUCAGGAGGAGCACCGAUGGCGAAGGCAGUUCUCUGGGCAUGUCCUGACGCUGAGGAACGAAAGUGUGGGGAGCGAACAGG